CCAAUUGCUUGAUUGAUCACAUAAGAUGGUUAAUGCUAAUGUGUAAAUUCAAUGAAGAAUAGCAAUACAAGAGUAGUAAUACUAUACUAGCUACAUAAAAUAACAUGGUUAAUGCUAAGUUCUUUUUGUGCAUUAUUCUAUGAAUGGAUUGAAAACCCAAUUUUAUGCCUGCAAUGCUGCAACCGAUCUGAUAUAUCUAUUUGUUGAUUCCUGGUAUUCUGAGACUUUGAGGGGCAAGAUUAAUACUUCUACAAUAUGUAAUUCAAGGAGGAUUGCGUAGGGGAAUGCGUUGUUAGUUGGCAUAAUGGUAGGCUCUCAAGCUAGUGCAGGGGAAGGUUUGAGGGACGUGUUUUCCCUUUCGAUGGUUCUUUUGGUACUUAAUGAACCAUAAGGAUAGUUCUUUUGCUUUCUGGUAGUGACAUGAGAUCAUUCUGGUUGGCCAAGAACAAGAGCGUUUUAGAUUGCUUGCUUGCUGAAUCAUCUUCCAUUGUGUGCCUCCAUGUUGUUUCAAACAUAAUUAAGUCCCCAAAUAGAAAACAUGAAGGUAGAUGAUGUCUACAUGAAGCUAACAUAGAGGUUGUGACUGAAGCAGCAUCACAAUGCUCAGGCAUCAACAAACAAACUCAGAGAAAACGUUGAGUCUACUUCUUUACCUCUUCCAAUGUCUGUUCCCAGCUGGCCUGUUCUCCAAAGGGCCAGUUGGGAGUUAAGUUUAAGCCAUUUUCAAAGUCCUUGUGGGAUUAUGUUCCUAUGUCUGACUGUCUUGUUAUUAAUCAUGGGGAAUUCAUGUACAGUCCUCUCUGCUUUACAGUUUCCUCCAUGUUACAAGAACAUCAGUUUCUGGAUCAAUGAAUCAUUUACUGAAAACAAUCUGUGUGAAGUUCUCAGAGGAAUGGUGCUAACAAGGUCUUUGAAUAUUAGUCCAAGCAGAGCUCCACGGUUCCAUGGCUCAUAAUAAUAUGUAAAUAGACAUAAUUAGUGAGGUAGAGGACAUUUUUUCUAUUUAUUUUUGUUACUAGUGUAUUAUUAUUCAUUUCCUUUAGCUGCUACAUUGUUGAGGUUACUUUUUUAUGAAAUUUGGUGGCUGCAAUUAGACUCAGUUACUUUUUAUGAAA